rnacentral:misc_RNA from 1 species
GAUGAAGAACGUAGCGGAAUGCGAUAAGUAAUGUGAAUUGCAGAAUUCAGUGAAUCAUCGAAUCUUUGAACGCACAUUGCGCCCCCUGGUAUUCCGGGGGGCAUGCCUGUUCGAGCGUCAUUUCACCACUCAAGCCUCGCUUGGUAUUGGGCGACGCGGUCCGCCGCGCGCCUCAAAUCGACCGGCUGGGUCUUCCGUCCCCUCAGCGUUGUGGAAACUAUUCGCUAAAGGGUGCCGCGGGAGGUCACGCCGCAAAACAACCCCAUUUCUAAGGUUGACCUCGGAUCAGGUAGGGAUACCCGCUGAACUUAAGCAUAUCAAUAAGCGGAGGA